rnacentral:lncRNA from 1 species
CAUUAGGAAAGAAGCACAAGAGAAAAUAAAGCAAUCAGUCAAUCAUUGAUGAGUUCCUAACGCCAAUGCCCAAUGACAAAGGGCGGUGCCCCCAAAGUACUCGGUUCGCCUUCAUCCAACGGUGAACAGUUUGGGUUUUGUGUGUUGCUGGUUGUAGAGCUGCUUACAUGGACGUGGGCAUGUUUAAUUCCUUUAUAUUUACUACGACCCGACUGCUGCAGUAAACUCUAUAUCAUCAUAUAGCUGGCACUAGCCAGCUGAUACAAUAGGUUGGAUGUUAUAGCCACGUUAUCUCAUCAACUAAACAAUAAUUUAUCAUGCAUUGUCAUUCUAUUGUGACAUGACAUAAGUAUGUUUAUGUUUACGUAGAAAUACCAAAAAAAUUUAUGUCUACAUGGAAAAGCAACACAAAAGAAAAAGAAAGAACCAUCAUACUUCAGCAAAGAAAAAGGAAAACAGACUGCACCAAAAUAAAAAUCCAUCCAACACCUGUUUUACAUACGAAUAAUAUGUAUAUACAACAAGAACAGGACACGAAAAAGGAGCCUAAAGAAAAAGAAAUCCCCAAAUCUCUCAAUACAAAGGAGCAAAGAGACAGAAAUUCCCUAAUCCAUCCACACAGUAGAACUGCGUAACAUUGUCAAAUGAUUUAUCCUAGCUAUUUGCUUGUCUCAAUAUGUAGGAUGAUGCAGAAGACAAUAGGGAUCUCGUAGGAAGACAACGCAUGCUCCUUGUAGAAGUCAUCGAUCUAUCGAGCGAGCUGAAGUGGAACAAGGCCACAAGUCAUUGAUUCGACCUCGGUGGCAAAGGUUCUUUUGCAAUAGGGAAGAUUGAUGACAACAAUAUUUACUAAGGGUGGGUACAAUAGAAGGCUAUAAGCCAGCUAUAAAUAUAUUUUAAGGAGAUAAGAGAGAAGAGAAAAGAAUAACGAACUAUAGAUUUGUAGGCAGCUAGGGCACAGACUCUAAGACAUAAUGUGUGUAUGAUAGGUGGGACCAGAUAUUAAUAGUGUAAUAUAUGUUU